AGUGAACGCUGGCGGUAGGCCUAACACAUGCAAGUCGAACGGCAGCACAGUAAGAGCUUGCUCUUACGGGUGGCGAGUGGCGGACGGGUGAGGAAUACAUCGGAAUCUACUUUUUCGUGGGGGGUAACGUAGGGAAACUUACGCUAAUACCGCAUACUACCUACGGGGGAAAGCAGGGGAUCUUCGGACCUUGCGCGAUUGAAUGAGCCGAUGUCGGAUUAGCUAGUUGGCGGGGUAAAGGCCCACCAAGGCGACGAUCCGUAGCUGGUCUGAGAGGAUGAUCAGCCACACUGGAACUGAGACACGGUCCAGACUCCUACGGGAGGCAGCAGUGGGGAAUAUUGGACAAUGGGCGCAAGCCUGAUCCAGCCAUACCGCGUGGGUGAAGAAGGCCUUCGGGUUGUAAAGCCCUUUUGUUGGGAAAGAAAAGCAGCAGGUUAAUACCCCGCUGUUCUGACGGUACCCAAAGAAUAAGCACCGGCUAACUUCGUG
rnacentral:rRNA from 1 species